rnacentral:rRNA from 1 species
GGACAACAGUUGGAAACGACUGCUAAUACCGCAUAAGCCCACGGAUCCGCAUGGAUCUGCGGGAAAAGGAUUUAUUCGCUCUAGGAUGGACUCGCGUCCAAUUAGCUAGUUGGUGAGGUAACGGCCCACCAAGGCGACGAUUGGUAGCCGGACUGAGAGGUUGAACGGCCACAUUGGGACUGAGACACGGCCCAGACUCCUACGGGAGGCAGCAGUGGGGGAUAUUGCACAAUGGGGGAAACCCUGAUGCAGCGACGCCGCGUGGAGGAAGAAGGUUUUCGGAUUGUAAACUCCUGUCGUUAGGGACGAUAAUGACGGUACCUAACAAGAAAGCACCGGCUAACUACGUGCCAGCAGCCGCGGUAAAACGUAGGGUGCAAGCGUUGUCCGGAAUUACUGGGUGUAAAGGGAGCGCAGGCGGACCGGCAAGUUGGAAGUGAAAACUAUGGGCUCAACCCAUAAAUUGCUUUCAAAACUGCUGGCCUUGAGUAGUGCAGAGGUAGGUGGAAUUCCCGGUGUAGCGGUGGAAUGCGUAGAUAUCGGGAGGAACACCAGUGGCGAAGGCGACCUACUGGGCACCAACUGACGCUGAGGCUCGAAAGCAUGGGUAGCAAACAGGAUUAGAUACCCUGGUAGUCCAUGCCGUAAACGAUGAUUACUAGGUGUUGGAGGAUUGACCCCUUCAGUGCCGCAG